rnacentral:rRNA from 1 species
CCCUUAGAUGUUCUGGGCCGCACGCGCGCUACACUGAUGCAUUCAACGAGUCUAAAACCUGCUCUGAUAGGGGUGGGUAAUCUUUUGAAUGGGCAUCGUGAUUGGGAUAGAUGAUUGCAAUUCUUCAUCUUCAACGAGGAAUGCCUAGUAAACGCAAGUCAUCAGCUUGCAUUGAUUACGUCCCUGCCCUUUGUACACACCGCCCGUCGCUCCUACCGAUUGAAUGAUCCGAUGAAUAUCAUGGAUUGAGGAUGCAAGUAGGUUAGCCUAUCUUCAUCUUCGAGAAGUGAAGUAAAUCUUAUCAUUUAGAGGAAGGAGAAGUCGUAACA